UACAACCGUACAGCUCCUGCCAACGCCACCCGGCCAGCAUCCCCCAGUCGCAAGGAGUCAGGCAAGGGGCGCAAUCGACGGCUCCUGGGGAACGUCGCUGGACCUCUCGCUUAGGGCGUUCCGUACACCUGACCAACAGACAAACCUACAUGCAAGGUAAGCCCCAAUCUUCCUCCCGUCCUGGUUAUUAUUCCGUUCUGUUUAGUUUGGAUAAUGACUCUGACUGUGUUCCUGCAUGGUGGUAAGAUAUAUACUGCAACGUCGGCCGCCGUGCUAACUUCCGGGCAUGCCGAAUUAUGUAUGUGUAAGUGUUAGAAUUUGUGUCGCGUCAAACGUUAAGGAUGUAGCAAGCGUGUGCCGUUGUGCAGUUGCAAGCCCGGGAACUGAGAGAUUGCUUGGCAAUUAGAACAAGCUAGAUGACACGACGUGCACAGCUGUCGGACACACUGUACUGCAUGGCCAAGCGUAAUCUGAUGCUCCAUUUAUGCAUGCAUUUUCUGCUUUUACUUCAGUUCACCGUCGCCAUUUUUGCUGAGGACAACCGUUUUCAUCAUACUCGUUUUUUUCAAUUCAUGGCCGCAGGUGUUGGUGAUUGCGGCCGACGCCGCCAUUUGUACAUACAUAUCGAACGAGAUCAUCAAGCAUCUGGCGAGGACGUUGGGAAUUGUGCCGUGCAUGCAUAAGGGGCUCGGGCAUUCCCGAAGCGCCCCAUCAUGGCGCCGAACACCUGGGCCGAACAUGUUAUGCAAAUGUUGUCAGUGGGAUGUGUAUUAGAAUGUGUAGUGGAAUGUGUAGUGGUGUGUGUAGUGUGUGUGCAGUUGUAGUGGAAUGUGUAGUGGUGUGUGUAGGCGGUAUGCGCAAGGGCACCAGUGCUUGCACCACCCCGCAGGCGGCGACGGACACAUACGCGCAUCUUGAACGAACGUAUUAUUCGAUGCACCUCGUCGAACGUGGAGUGUGGCGUUUAGUGCAUCUGUGCAUUUCGCUAUUUGCCGCCAGCGUUAUGAUUUGCUGUUGCUUUUAGUUACUGCGUGCUCAACGCCGUUUUUGAAGCUGUAGUGCAGAGUGCACGACCAGGUGGCCGCCUGGUUGGACGAUGGUUAUAGGUUGACCAAAGACCUUUUAAGAGGAAAGAUAUGCACGUGCGGACGGCGCAUGCGCCUUACCGAGAAACCGCUUGCGUGCGUCGCUUUGUGGUAUGCGCUCGUAUGCGGUAGAUAGCCGUUCGCGAGGAGGUUAGCGUGCUACAUCAACUUACCUAGUGUGCAAUGUCAUUAUCUUAUGUUAUCCGGAUGCGGCUUUCAGCCUUCAUGCGAGCAAAUUUAAAAGUCGUUAGUAACAGUUGGGCUUGUCCCUCAUAGGUCCUGAUGUGCAGGGAUAAAUGCUGAAGACCUAUUAUGGAGUCCUUUAAUGAAGUAGGGCUGCCGGGGCCAUUUUUUCGAGUAAUCCAGCGUUCGUCAUAUGUCCGGGCCAGCGGAUAACGUUUAAAAUGUUUUAUGUAUCCUUUUAAGUCGGGACGCGUCUACCGCGCUCGAGGUUCCUUGCAGUUCCUUGCUGGUAGCACGCCUGGGUAGGGAGCUUCUGCGGCGUUUAAAUCUUUUUUCAAUCUUUUACAUCCAAGGUGUGUGAUUCGCUGGCCUGAUCGUGACAGUGCUGGAGCAUGUAACAAUUUAC
rnacentral:lncRNA from 1 species